AAGAUUUUGUCGUUGAUGACGUCAUGAAUUUUGAAGAUUUAUUGCACUAGUACAAUAUUAGAAUUUAUUGCACGCUAACUUUUGGUUACGUUCUGUGGGAAAUAUUAUAUUGCUAUGCAAUAAUAUAUAUUUUAUGAUCUGAUCAAACUUAUUGUUUAAUGUGUCACAUGUAUGUUUUCCUUAACAAGAAUCUCACCAAGCUAAGUGAGUUGAUUAGAACCAACCAGGCUAUGGCAUAUCAAUUUUAAGUUUCAAAUAUAUGUAUUUCAUGAUUAAUGGCUUUGUAAAAAUAAUUGGUUUGGUUCAGCAUUUUAUUCUAUAUUACAAUGUAUAUUGGAAAGUAAACAUUUGGAUGAGUAUGGGCUUUACAAAUUUGUUACUUACAAAAAGUAAUGAAAGAUAUAAUUUUAUGUUUUUAAAUGCCUUAAUGUGAAAAUAUUGUUCAUAAUUUUUAUCUUGAGAACAAAACUUUCUAUAAUGUUUCUUCUUUGUUUAUAAUAUAUUGUAUGUAAAAUAUUAUGUUUAGAAAAUAUAUAUGUAGUCUUCCUGUUCACAAUAAGAUUGUGUCAUUCGAAGAUAAUAUUAUUGUGUCAAGGGACCAUAAUAAUAAUAGAAAUGUGUCAAGGGAAGAUAAUCAUGUCCAAGAUCACACAGUUGAAGUUUUUCUUUAAAAUGAUAUAUAUAACUAUAUAACAAUAAAAAAUAGACUCUGCAUGCAUGCAUUUAAACAUUUGAAAUUAUGUUGUUAAAAAACACCACUUAGGUUUCAUUGCAUAUAAAAAUAAUAGACUAACAUAGAACUAGAUUGGAAAGUUUCUGUUUUAAUUUCAGGCACCAUUUCUCUUCAAGUGUCAUAAUUUUAUUAGAAACAAAGAAUUAAAAACAUACAAGUAUUAUUACCUUUCUACAUUUGAAAUGUCACUCUUUUAAAUAAAACAAAAUGUUUUGAAAUGUAAUAGUAGGUUUAUUAUAUACUAAUCUUUAACUGUUCUCUCAUCAAACUAACAAUAACAUUGAUGUUUUUGUUGUAUUACCCCCUCAGCGAUAGUUAAACCUGCUCAUUAGAAUUGACACAAGGGGGAGACAAUCAUCUCAUGUAGAAUUGAUAUAAGGGGAGGCAAUCCUCUCAUGUAGAAUUGACACAAGGGGGAGACAAUCCUCAUGUAGAAUUGAAAUAAGGGGAGACAAUCCUGUUUUGUAGACUUGAUUAAAGGGGAUGUAAUCCUCCUUGUUAUGAAACCAUUUUCAACUGUGAUAUGUAAUAAAACAGCU
rnacentral:lncRNA from 1 species